GAUGAACGCUGGCGGCGUGCUUAACACAUGCAAGUCGGACGGAAAGGCCCUGCUCUUGUGGGUUGCUCGUGUGGCGCACGGGUGAGUAUCACGUGAGUAACCUGCACCUGACUUUGGGAUAACUUCAGGAAAAUGGGGCUCUUACCGGAUAGGAGCUCCUGCUGCAUGGUGGGGGUUGGAGAGUUUCGGCGGUUGUGGAUGGACUCGCGGCUUAUGCGCUUGUUGGUGGGGUAGUUGCUUACGAAGGCUUUGAAGGGUAGGCGGCCUGGGCGCUUGACCAGCCACAAUGGGACUGAGAGACGGCGCAGACGGCAACGGGAGGCAGCGGUGGAGAAUAUGGCACAAUGGGCGGAAGCCAGAUGCGACAACCCUGCGUGCGGGAUGACGUCUUUCGAGUUGUAAACCGCUUUCUCCUGAGACGAAGCCGGAGUGACGGUAACUAGUAAGAAAGCACCGGCUAACUACGUG
rnacentral:rRNA from 1 species